rnacentral:rRNA from 1 species
AGUGAACGCUGGCGGUAUGCCUAACACAUGCAAGUCGAACGGCAGCACAGUAAGAGCUUGCUCGUACGGGUGGCGAGUGGCGGACGGGUGAGGAAUACAUCGGAAUCUACUUUUUCGUGGGGGAUAACGUAGGGAAACUUACGCUAAUACCGCAUACGACCUACGGGUGAAGGCAGGGGAUCUUCGGACCUUGCGCGAUUGAAUGAGCCGAUGUCGGGUUAGCUAGUUGGCGGGGUAAAGGCCCACCAAGGCACCGAUCCGUAGCGGGUCUGAGAGGAUGAUCAGCCACACUGGAACUGAGACACGGUCCAGACUCCUACGGGAGGCAGCAGUGGGGAAUAUUGGACAAUGGGCGCAAGCCUGAUCCAGCCAUACCGAGUGGGUGAAGAAGGCCUUCGGGUUGUAAAGCCCUUUUGUUGGGAAAGAAAAGCAGCAGGUUAAUACCCCGCUGUUCUGACGGUACCCAAAGAAUAAGCACCGGCUAACUUCGUG